rnacentral:rRNA from 1 species
UACGGAGGGUGCAAGCGUUGUUCGGAAUUACUGGGCGUAAAGGGCGCGUAGGCGGUGCAGUAAGUCAGAUGCGAAAGCCCUGGGCUCAACCCAGGAAGUGCAUUUGAAACUGCUGUACUUGAGUAUGGGAGAGGAGAGUGGAAUUCCCAGUGUAGAGGUGAAAUUCGUAGAUAUUGGGAGGAACACCCGUGGCGAAGGCGACUCUCGGGACCAAUACUGACGCUGAGGCGCGAAAGCGUGGGGAGCAAACAGG